rfam:Aedes aegypti strain Liverpool supercont1.2342 genomic scaffold, whole genome shotgun sequence.
CAACCUCAACUCAUAUGGGACUACCCCCUGAAUUUAAGCAUAUUAAUUAGGGGAGGAAAAGAAACUAACAAGGAUUUUCUUAGUAGCGGCGAGCGAAAAGAAAAUAGUUCAGCACUAAGUCACUUUGUCUUUAUGGCAAAUGUGAGAUGCAGUGUAUGGAGCAUCAAUAUUCUAGUAUGAGAAAUUAAUGAUUUAAGUCCUUCUUAAAUGAGGCCAUUUACCCAUAGAGGGUGCCAGGCCCGUAUAACGUUAAUGAUUACUAGAUGGUGUUUCCAAAGAGUCGUGUUGCUUGAUAGUGCAGCACUAAGUGGGUGGUAAACUCCAUCUAAAACUAAAUAUAACCAUGAGACCGAUAGUAAACAAGUACCGUGAGGGAAAGUUGAAAAGAACUCUGAAUAGAGAGUUAAAUAGUACGUGAAACUGCUUAGAGGUUAAGCCCGAUGAACCUGAAUAUCCAUUAUGGAAAAUUCAUCAUUAGAGUUUUAAUAUUUUAAUAAUAUUAUAAUAAUAGUGUGCAUUUUUUCCAUAUAAGGACAUUGUAAUCUAUUAACAUAAACCAAAUUUAUCAUAAAAUAUGACUUAUAGUUUAUUUAAAUUAUUUUGCUUGCAUUUUAACAUAGAAUAAAUGUCAUUAAUUUGAUAAAGUGUUGAUAGAUUUAUAUGAAUACAGUGCGUUAAUUUUUCGGAAUUAUAUAAUAGCAUGAUUAUCAUUGAUUUUCUGUGUUUAUUAUAUGCACUUGUAUGAUUAACAAUGCGAAAGAUUCAGGAUACCUUCGGGACCCGUCUUGAAACACGGACCAAGGAGUCUAACAUAUGUGCAAGUUAUUGGGAUAUAAACCUAAUAGCAUAAUUAACUUGACUAAUAAUGGGAUUAGUUUUUUAACUAUUUAUAGAUAAUUAACACAAUCCCGGGGCGUUCUAUAUAGUUAUGUAUAAUGAUAUUUAUAUUAUUUAUACCUCUAACUGGAACGUACCUUGAGCAUAUAUGCUGUGACCCGAAAGAUGGUGAACUAUACUUGAUCAGGUUGAAGUCAGGGGAAACCCUGAUGGAAGACCGAAACAGUUCUGACGUGCAAAUCGAUUGUCAGAAUUGAGUAUAGGGGCGAAAGACCAAUCGAACCAUCUAGUAGCUGGUUCCUUCCGAAGUUUCCCUCAGGAUAGCUGGUGCAUUUAAAUGUUAUAUAAAAUAAUCUUAUCUGGUAAAGCGAAUGAUUAGAGGCCUUAGGGUCGAAACGAUCUUAACCUAUUCUCAAACUUUAAAUGGGUAAGAACCUUAACUUUCUUGAUAUGAAGUUUAAGGUUAUGAUAUAUUGUGCCCAGUGGGCCACUUUUGGUAAGCAGAACUGGCGCUGUGGGAUGAACCAAACGUAAUGUUACGGUGCCCAAAUUAACAACUCAUACAGAAACCAUGAAAGGCGUUGGUUGCUUAAAACAGCAGGACGGUGAUCAUGGAAGUCGAAAUCCGCUAAGGAGUGUGUAACAACUCACCUGCCGAAGCAACUAGCCCUUAAAAUGGAUGGCGCUUAAGUUGUAUACCUAUACAUUACCGCUAAAGUAGAUGAUUUAUAUUAUUUAUAAUAUAAAUUUUGAAACUUUAGUGAGUAGGAAGGUACAAUGGUGUGCUUAGAAGUGUUUGGCGUAAGCCUGCAUGGAGCCGCCAUUGGUACAGAUCUUGGUGGUAGUAGCAAAUAAUCGAAUGAGACCUUGGAGGACUGAAGUGGAGAAGGGUUUCGUGUGAACAGUGGUUGAUCACGAGUUAGUCGGUCCUAAGUUCAAGGCGAAAGCCGAAAAUUUUCAAGUUUUAAAAAUGUCAAAUGAAAUAAUAAAUAAUAAAACACUUGAAUAAUUUUGAACGAAAGGGAAUACGGUUCCAAUUCCGUAACCUGUUGAGUAUCCGUUUGUUAUUAAAUAUGGGCCUCGUGCUCAUCCUGGCAACAGGAACGACCAUAAAGAAGCCGUCGAGAGGUAUCGGAAGAGUUUUCUUUUCUGUUUUAUAGCCGUACUACCAUGGAAGUCUUUCGCAGAGAGAUAUGGUAGAUGGGCUAGAAGAGCAUGACAUAUACUGUUGUGUCGAUAUUUUCUCCUCGGACCUUGAAAAUUUAUGGUGGGGAUACGCAAACUUCUCAACAGGCCGUACCAAUAUCCGCAGCUGGUCUCCAAGGUGAAGAGUCUCUAGUCGAUAGAAUAAUGUAGGUAAGGGAAGUCGGCAAAUUAGAUCCGUAACUUCGGGAUAAGGAUUGGCUCUGAAGAUUGAGAUAGUCGGGCUUGAUUGGGAAACAAUAACAUGGUUUAUGUGCUCGUUCUGGGUAAAUAGAGUUUCUAUCAUUUAUGAUAGUUAUUUGUUCCCCGGAUAGUUAGUUACGUAGCCAAUUGUGGAACUUUCUUGCUAAAAUUUUUAAGAAUACUAAUUUUUAAUUAGUUCUUUUAAAUUAUAACGAUUAUCAAUUAACAAUCAAUUCAGAACUGGCACGGACUUGGGGAAUCCGACUGUCUAAUUAAA